GUGUGAUGUCACCUUAUAGUACACUAAAUAUAAGUUUAUUUCAAACUCUAGAUCUCCAAGAGUGAUGUGGGCAUUUAUGAGGUCUACCUGAGUGAUGACAGAGGCAAAGAUAAGAGCGUCUUUAAUCUGACAGACGCAGGAUACCAAACUGUGAUGAAUGAGCUGUUCAGAGUCAUUGCUAACUCCUCCACUGAAAUCAAAGUCCUCAGUACCGAACACGGAAUUGUCCUGUACUCCAGUGUCACAUACUGUCACGAGGAACUGCGCGUUAAUUGGCUUCACAAGUA